rnacentral:rRNA from 1 species
CAAGUCGAACGGAACUUCUUUAAUUGAUUUCUUCGGAAUGAUUUUGAUUAAGUUUAGUGGCGGACGGGUGAGUAACGCGUGAGUAACCUGCCUCUAAGAGGGGAAUAACAUUCUGAAAAGAAUGCUAAUACCGCAUAAUAUAUAUUUAUCGCAUGGUAGAUAUAUCAAAGAUUUAUCGCUUAGAGAUGGACUCGCGUCCGAUUAGUUAGUUGGUGAGGUAACGGCUCACCAAGACCGCGAUCGGUAGCCGGACUGAGAGGUUGAACGGCCACAUUGGGACUGAGACACGGCCCAGACUCCUACGGGAGGCAGCAGUGGGGGAUAUUGCGCAAUGGGGGAAACCCUGACGCAGCAACGCCGCGUGAAGGAUGAAGGUCUUCGGAUUGUAAACUUCUUUUAUUAAGGACGAAGAAAGUGACGGUACUUAAUGAAUAAGCUCCGGCUAACUACGUGCCAGCAGCCGCGGUAAUACGUAGGGAGCAAGCGUUGUCCGGAUUUACUGGGUGUAAAGGGUGCGUAGGCGGCUUUGCAAGUCAGAUGUGAAAUCUAUGGGCUCAACCCAUAGCCUGCAUUUGAAACUGCAGAGCUUGAGUGAAGUAGAGGCAGGCGGAAUUCCCCGUGUAGCGGUGAAAUGCGUAGAGAUGGGGAGGAACACCAGUGGCGAAGGCGGCCUGCUGGGCUUUAACUGACGCUGAGGCA